AGCUCCAAUAGCGUAUACUAAAGUUGUUGCAGUUAAAAGCUCGUAGUUGGAUUUCUGCGUGAGCGGGGCGGCCGUCUACACUUAGUGGUACGUGCUAGCUAUGUUCGCGCAUCCGGUCGGAAGCCGUACUACCAUUCGCUUGGUGGUGCCGGUGAACGGCCCGUUUACUUUGAGAAAAAUAGAGUGUUCAAAGCAGGCCAUUUGCCUUGAAUAAUUUAGCAUGGAAUAAUAAUAAAGGACUACGGUUCUAUUUUGUUGGUGUUCGGGACCGAAGUAAUGAUUGAUAGGGACAGUUGGGGGCGUCAGUAUUCC
rnacentral:rRNA from 1 species